AAGAAAACAAAAUCUGACAUCAAUCUCAUGCAAUUAAAAAACUACCCUUUCAUUGAUUUCCGUCGCUUCCUUGAAGCCUCUGAGAGUGAAUAACGGCAACGUCCAUCUUCUGCACUGUGCCAGAGAGCGAUGCAAAGCUAUAACAUGGGAGUUUUUUUUGUAAUGAUCGCUUAUUGGUUUGUAAGCUCGUUCAAUCUUGCUCGGCGCUGCUUUCAGUGAAGCCAAUCUAAUAAAAAGUGGCAUCCAAAUCCAAUUAUGCUUCGUCACAAGAACUCUGUAGAAGAAUCUCACUAUGACAUUUUAUCUGUGAAAGAAGAUGCUAGCUAUGAAGAAAUCCGUACCAGCUACAGAGUAGCCAUCCUCAAUUAUCAUCCUGAUAAGCUGCAAAACACACGUCAGAUGUCUCAUGUUCUAAAUGAGGUGCAAGAUAGAUUUUUGAAAAUACAGAAGGCUUGGGAGAUCCUUGGCAAUUCAAAAUUACGUGCUGUUUAUGAUAGUGAGCUGCGAGCUUCAAGAAAAGAUAGAGGAGAUGGAGUUGGAGUUGCAGCGGAAGAUGUCAGUUUGGGGGACAUGGAGAUUGAAGAUGGUGGAGAAGUGUUGGAGCUCUUUUACCAGUGCCGAUGUGGUGAUUAUUUCUCUGUUGAUUCUUUGGAGUUGGGGAAAAUGGGAUAUACGUUGUUGAGGGAUGAAAAUAAGUUAUCUUUUGAAACAGCAGCAGCAGAUACUUUAGCAUCAGUUAUUCUUCCUUGUGGUUCAUGUUCUUUGCAAGUCCGUCUAUUGAUUAAUGCAUGCAUGAAGGUUCCAAUCAAUGAGAAUAAUCUGUAAUUUUGGAGAUAAUCUUGGCUUGAUUUUUUUUUUUGUUGCGUGUUUUG
rnacentral:misc_RNA from 1 species